rnacentral:sRNA from 1 species
GCCAGGUGUGGUGGUGCAAACCUGUGAUCCCAGCUACUCGGGAGGCUGAGGUGGGAGGAUCACUUGAGCCCGGGAGGGGAAGGCUGCAGUGAAGAACCGUGAUCACACCACUGCACUUCAGCCUGGGUGACAGAGUGAGACCCUGUGUUAAAAAAAAAAAAAAAAAAAAACAGGGUCUUGCUCUGUUACCCAAACUGGAGUGCAGUGGUGUGAUUUCGGCUCACUGCAGCCUCCAUCUCCUGGGAUCCAGCAAUCCUCCCACCUCC